AGGGUUUGAUCAUGGCUCAGAACGUACGCUGGCGGCACGCCUAACACAUGCAAGUCGAACGAAGUAGCAAUACUUAGUGGCAGACGGGUGAGUAACAUGUAGGUAUCUACCCUUUGGCCUGGAAUAACACGAGGAAACUUGUGCUAAUACCGGAUAAGUCUUUACGGAGAAAGCUUUAUGCACCAUUGGAUGAGCCUGCACUUGAUUAGUUUGUUGGUGGGGUAAUGGCCUACCAAGACUUUGAUCAAUAGCUGAUUUGAGAGGAUGAUCAGCCACAUUGGGACUGAGACACGGCCCAAACUCCUACGGGAGGCAGCAGUGGGGAAUCUUGCACAAUGGAGGAAACUCUGAUGCAGCGAUGCCGCGUGAGUGAAGAAGGCCCUUGGGUUGUAAAGCUCUUUCGUCGGGGAAGAAAAUGACUGUACCCGAAUAAGAAGGUCCGGCUAACUUCGUGCCAGCAGCCGCGGUAAUACGAAGGGACCUAGCGUAGUUCGGAAUUACUGGGCUUAAAGAGUUCGUAGGUGGUUGAAAUAGUUGGUGGUGAAAUCCCAGAGCUUAACUCUGGAACUGCCAUCAAAACUUUUCAGCUAGAGUUUGAUAGAGGAAAGCAGAAUUUCUAGUGUAGAGGUGAAAUUCGUAGAUAUUAGAAAGAAUACCAAUUGCGAAGGCAGCUUUCUGGAUCAUUACUGACACUGAGGAACGAAAGCAUGGGUAGCGAAGAGGAUUAGAUACCCUCGUAGUCCAUGCCGUAAACGAUGUGUGUUAGACGUUGGAAAUUUAUUUUCAGUGUCGCAGCGAAAGCGAUAAACACACCGCCUGGGGAGUACGACCGCAAGGUUAAAACUCAAAUGAAUUGACGGGGACCCGCACAAGUAGUGGAGCAUGUGGUUUAAUUCGAAGAUACGCGCAGAACCUUACCAACACUUGACAUGUUCGUCGCGACUCUAAGAGAUUAGAGUUUUCGGUUCGGCCGGACGAAACACAGGUGCUGCAUGGCUGUCGUCAGCUCGUGUCGUGAGAUGUUGGGUUAAGUCCCGCAACGAGCGCAACCCUCACUUUUAGUUGCCAUCAUUAAGUUGGGCACUCUGAAAGAACUGCCAGUGAUAAGCUGGAGGAAGGUGGGGAUGACGUCAAGUCCUCAUGGCCCUUACGUGUUGGGCUACACACGUGCUACAAUGGUAUCUACAACAGGAAGCAAGACGGCGACGUUAAGCAAAUCCUUAAAAGAUACCUCAGUUCGGAUUGCACUCUGCAACUCGAGUGCAUGAAGCUGGAAUUACUAGUAAUCGUGGAUCAGCGUGCCACGGUGAAUGCGUUCCCGGGUCUUGUACACACCGCCCGUCACACCAUGGGAGUUGGUUCUACCUUAAGGCAAGGUUUCAAACCCUUGACCACGGUAUAGUCAGCGACUGGGGUGAAGUCGUAACAAGGUAGCCGUA
rnacentral:rRNA from 1 species